rnacentral:snRNA from 15 species
AUGCUCUGACCCCGGGUGGAGGCUCACCAUUGCACCUCGGUGGGUUGAAACUCGCGACGGACCCCAAUCGGGUGCUCUCGGGCGUGUAGUUUAUGUCAGUGGGGAGGCCUCACGGUCCUCCCUU